rnacentral:rRNA from 1 species
AUACGAAGGGGGCUAGCGUUGUUCGGAAUUACUGGGCGUAAAGCGCGCGUAGGCGGAUUGGUCAGUUAGGGGUGAAAUCCCAGGGCUUAACCCUGGAACUGCCUCUAAUACUGCCAGUCUUGAGUUCGGGAGAGGUGAGUGGAAUUCCUAGUGUAGAGGUGAAAUUCGUAGAUAUUAGGAAGAACACCAGUGGCGAAGGCGGCUCACUGGCCCGAUACUGACGCUGAGGCGCGAAAGCGUGGGGAGCAAACGGGAUUAGAUACCCUAGUAGUCC